AUGGUAUCUAUAAAGUAUGCAACCAAAUCAUUAAUCGCCAUUUUCAUCAAGUGAAGACUGUCUUCGAAUUGAAAGAAUAUUUAAAAUGAAUGCCAAACUCAUCUUCAUCCUGCUGGUUGCGACCAUGCUGAUUAUAGACACUGAGAGCAGAUACUACAGGCCCCACAGACGUCCGCGAUAUUACAAGCCCAGAUAUCAUCAUGGAUAUCGCCGUGUAUAUAGAGGCGAUGAAGCUCUUCUUGUCGAUGAAUUGCACAAUAUGCUGGAUGAAGUACUCUCCAGCUUCUUGGACAAACAGGAGGAUAUGCCAGAAAUGCUACCUGAAGCAGAGAAUGAUGUAAACGAAGAAUAAGAACCCACCAGGACGAACAAGACUACACAAUGAAGUUAAAGCGAACAUUUUGAUGCCACACCCAGUCAAUACAAAUUCAAACGUCGCAGAUUAAUAAAAAGAAGGGUUAAUAAAAUUUGAUGAUAAAUA